AGUCGAGCGGGGGAAGGUAGCUUGCUACCGGACCUAGCGGCGGACGGGUGAGUAAUGCUUAGGAAUCUGCCUAUUAGUGGGGGACAACAUCUCGAAAGGGAUGCUAAUACCGCAUACGUCCUACGGGAGAAAGCAGGGGAUCUUCGGACCUUGCGCUAAUAGAUGAGCCUAAGUCGGAUUAGCUAGUUGGUGGGGUAAAGGCCUACCAAGGCGACGAUCUGUAGCGGGUCUGAGAGGAUGAUCCGCCACACUGGGACUGAGACACGGCCCAGACUCCUACGGGAGGCAGCAGUGGGGAAUAUUGGACAAUGGGCGCAAGCCUGAUCCAGCCAUGCCGCGUGUGUGAAGAAGGCCUUAUGGUUGUAAAGCACUUUAAGCGAGGAGGAGGCUACUUUAGAUAAUACCUAGAGAUAGUGGACGUUACUCGCAGAAUAAGCACCGGCUAACUCUGUGCCAGCAGCCGCGGUAAUACAGAGGGUGCAAGCGUUAAUCGGAUUUACUGGGCGUAAAGCGCGCGUAGGCGGCUAAUUAAGUCAAAUGUGAAAUCCCCGAGCUUAACUUGGGAAUUGCAUUCGAUACUGGUUAGCUAGAGUGUGGGAGAGGAUGGUAGAAUUCCAGGUGUAGCGGUGAAAUGCGUAGAGAUCUGGAGGAAUACCGAUGGCGAAGGCAGCCAUCUGGCCUAACACUGACGCUGAGGUGCGAAAGCAUGGGGAGCAAACAGGAUUAGAUACCCUGGUAGUCCAUGCCGUAAACGAUGUCUACUAGCCGUUGGGGCCUUUGAGGCUUUAGUGGCGCAGCUAACGCGAUAAGUAGACCGCCUGGGGAGUACGGUCGCAAGACUAAAACUCAAAUGAAUUGACGGGGGCCCGUCACAAGCGGUGGAGCAUGUGGUUUAAUUCGAUGCAACGCGAAGAACCUUACCUGGCCUUGACAUAGUAAGAACUUUCCAGAGAUGGAUUGGUGCCUUCGGGAACUUACAUACAGGUGCUGCAUGGCUGUCGUCAGCUC
rnacentral:rRNA from 1 species